CGGGCCGGCCAGACGGUCGCGUCGCCGGUCGGUUCGCCGCCGGUGCCGAGGAACGUCCGGGCUCCACAGGGCAGGACGGUGGGUAACGCCCACCCGGGGCAACCCGCGAGCCAGUGCAACAGAAAGCAGACCGCCCGCUUCGCGCGGGUAAGGGUGAAAGGGUGCGGUAAGAGCGCACCGGGCGCCUGGUGACAGGCGUCGCACGGUAAACCUCGUCCGGAGCAAGGUCAGACAGGAGACGACGACGCUGCCCGCCGAGUCUCCGGGUAGACCGCUAGAGGCGCGCGGCAACGCGCGCCCGAGAGAGAUGGCCGUCACGGAUUCGUCCGUACAGAACCCGGCGUACCGGCCGACCCGUUCA
rnacentral:RNase_P_RNA from 1 species